CACACUUGGGGAUCUUGUUAAAAUACAGAUUCUGAUUCAGUAGAUCUGGGACAGGACCCCCGAUUCUGCAUUUCUAACAAGCUCCCAGGUGAUGUCUG
rnacentral:pre_miRNA from 1 species